UACGUAGGGUGCAAGCGUUAAUCGGAAUUACUGGGCGUAAAGCGUGCGCAGGCGGUUUUGUAAGACAGAGGUGAAAUCCCCGGGCUUAACCUGGGAACUGCCUUUGUGACUGCAAGGCUUGAGUGCGGCAGAGGGGGAUGGAGUUCCGCGUGUAGCAGUGAAAUGCGUAGAUAUGCGGAGGAACACCGAUGGCGAAGGCAAUCCCCUGGGCCUGCACUGACGCUCAUGCACGAAAGCGUGGGGAGCAAACAGG
rnacentral:rRNA from 1 species